rnacentral:rRNA from 1 species
GAUGAACGCUGGCUACAGGCUUAACACAUGCAAGUCGAGGGGAAACGACGGGGAAGCUUGCUUCCCCGGGCGUCGACCGGCGCACGGGUGAGUAACGCGUAUCCAACCUGCCUCUGACUGAGGGAUAACCCGCCGAAAGUCGGCCUAAUACCUCAUGGCAUCGUCUGCGGGCAUCCAACGACGAUUAAAGAUUUCAUCGGUCAGGGACGGGGAUGCGUCUGAUUAGCUUGUUGGCGGGGUAACGGCCCACCAAGGCUACGAUCAGUAGGGGUUCUGAGAGGAAGGUCCCCCACAUUGGAACUGAGACACGGUCCAAACUCCUACGGGAGGCAGCAGUGAGGAAGAUUGGUCAAUGGGCGGGAGCCUGAACCAGCCAAGUAGCGUGCAGGAUGACGGCCCUAUGGGUUGUAAACUGCUUUUAUGCGGGGAUAAAGUGAGGGACGUGUCCUUCAUUGCAGGUACCGCGUGAAUAAGGACCGGCUAAUUCCGUG